UCAAUCAGCGGCGGACGGGUGAGUAACACGUGGGUAACCUGCCUGUAAGACUGGGAUAACUCCGGGAAACCGGGGCUAAUACCGGAUAACUCAUUUCCUCGCAUGAGGAAAUGUUGAAAGGUGGCUUUUAGCUAUCACUUACAGAUGGACCCGCGGCGCAUUAGCUAGUUGGUGAGGUAACGGCUCACCAAGGCGACGAUGCGUAGCCGACCUGAGAGGGUGAUCGGCCACACUGGGACUGAGACACGGCCCAGACUCCUACGGGAGGCAGCAGUAGGGAAUCUUCCGCAAUGGACGAAAGUCUGACGGAGCAACGCCGCGUGAGUGAUGAAGGUUUUCGGAUCGUAAAACUCUGUUGUUAGGGAAGAACAAGUACCGUUCGAAUAGGGCGGUACCUUGACGGUACCUAACCAGAAAGCCACGGCUAACUACGUGCCAGCAGCCGCGGUAAUACGUAGGUGGCAAGCGUUGUCCGGAAUUAUUGGGCGUAAAGCGCGCGCACGUGGUUUCUUAAGUCUGAUGUGAAAGCCCACGGCUCAACCGUGGAGGGUCAUUGGAAACUGGGGAACUUGAGUGCAGAAGAGGAAAGUGUAAAUCCUAGUGUAGCGGUGAAAUGCGUAGAUAUUUGGAGGAACACCAGUGGCGAAGGCGACUUUCUGGUCUGUAACUGACACUGAGGCGCG
rnacentral:rRNA from 1 species